rnacentral:rRNA from 1 species
AUGGUCUGCACGAUGACCGAAGGCAUCGUGAAUAGGUUUUUUAGCUCCGCGAAGGCCGAGAUUCUUCAAAAGAACGAGACGGAGAUAAGAUGUCCGUGUCGAAGAUGCAAGCUGAGGAGCCUUAUGGACCUGGAUUCCAUACAGGUGCGGGACCACCUGCUCUUGCGUGGUUUCAUGGAAGGCUGUCGGUGGCAAGGUGAUGAAGAUGAUUAUGAAGUCGUCCAUGGGGGCCGGGCAAGAAAUGAGGAAGGACAGCAAGACAACCGUGUUGAGGGCGGGCGAGAAGAUGAAGAAUCUCCAGGAUAUGAUCACAAAGUACACAGUCAUCAUGUAGAAGAUGCCGGACAUGAUGAUGAGGAAGAUGCCGGAGCAGACGAAGGGCAUGAUCAUGAAGAUGAAGAUGCCGGAGCAGACGAUGAUGGACCAAUGAUGGGCUGGGUGUAG